UUUUUCCCCUUCUUUUUCCCCUUUAUUCCUUUCCCUUGACCUUUGCUGAGAUGCACAGUCACACUUCAGGACCUUCCAGGGCCGCUUCUCUAAUCUCCCCAGCAGGAUUAAUGCUGCUGGAAACCAUGAGGGCUUGGACCAGCUAUCAACUUUAUCAGGAAAGCUUCUUUCCGGCCAAGCUUUGCUAAGCGGGAAUCUUGGGUUGGAGCUGCUCGUCUCAUGUUUCACAGAUGGCCUCAAGGAAUGAUUUACUAGGAGAGUAAAAGAUUAACCAGAUUCCUCCAGCAGCAUCUUGGGUCGCAUAAAGCACUGGGUUUCACUGGGGCCUAGGCAAGCCCUCACUCCUUACCCUCGUUAGCCUGUUUUACAGUGACUAAUUGCCCUGCGCUCCCUUCCCUGGGAAUGGGGAAUCUCCUGGUGAGGAACCCACGCUCCUCGCACGAGCAGCUUUGGAACAGGCACAGCAGCGAAGGCUUCUCCACGUGGGCAGCUUUGCAGAAUCCCCCUGUGGAGAAGAGCCAUCGCUGGAGAGGUCACACAAACGGUGCUUUGGGAUCCCAUCUGAGUGUGUCCCAGAGCGUGGCAGCCCCGGCUCGCACCCAGCAUGGGGAGGAUUGCUCAGUGGUAAGGGUAAGAAAGGAAACAGCUGUGAUCCCUUCCUGGAGCCUUUGCUCUUUUUCAUCCCCUUAGAUGUAUCCCAAUGUAAAUAACCUUUCAUAUCCCUUUACAAAGUGAUUGCUGAGUGGGCUGGAGGAGAAGGUAUUCUGUAAUGUAAUAAUUCCUGUCCUUUCUCUUUAUUUUCCUGCUUGGUCAUCGAAAGGAAAUCUGGCUGCUUGUUAAUUUGAAAGCAUUUGGAGUGGUGAUGGCAUAAUGGAUAUGAAAGUUCACAGGACUCUGGCAGCUCCUAAUGUAUGAGGCUUUCGGAUGAAGAAAUGAAAGCUGCCUGUGCAGGAUUCCCAUUUGUCAUGAAAACCCCACAGUACCACGGGACAGCUGUUUGCCUGGGAUCUGUACCUCAGCUGGAAGGAACCAGAACAGACAUGUGCUCUGUUGUACAAAGCCCAUAACCCCAGAGACAGGUAAAUCAUCCUUUAUAAGGAAAAAGCAUCAUACAGAAUUAACUUUUUCUAUAAAAGAUGCUUUUCAGGUUCUGUUCGCUAUUCUACAUAAUCAAAACCAUGGCUUGAAAUGCGUAA